rnacentral:sRNA from 1 species
AGUGGUGCUGGGAGUGUCGUGGACGUCGUGCCGUUACUCGUAGUCAGGCGGCGGCGCAGGCGGCGGCGGCGGCAUAGCGCACAGCGCGCCUUAGCAGCAGCGGCAGCAGCAGCAGCAUCGGAGGUACCCCCGCCGUCGCAGCCCCCGCGCUGGUGCAGCCACCCUCGCUCCCUCUGCUCUUCCUCCCUUCGCUCGCACCAUGCCUCUAGAUUGCCAGAUGCGACUGUGCGCCUCGCUGGGUGUGUUUUCCACAGCCCUUUCCUCCUCGGCGUGCAGGGCUGACAUCACCGACUGCGUUUCUGGUUUGGCGGGUGGGGAGAUGGUUCCCCGCAGGGUUCUGGUACACCUUUGCCCCCAGGGCUAGCGCCAUUUGGGGGAGGAGGAUUUCGUUGUCGAGAAAGUUGGAUGCCCCUGGUAACCCCUCUAACGAGAGUUUUGUAGUGAGGUGGGACUGUUCUCCUCAUAAGGUGACAGUUUCUCUUGCGAGGUGUGGCAGCGCUUCCUGUUGUACAAGACAGAUGUUGCCUUGGCGUUACGUAAAUGAUCGUGUCU